UUAGAGUUUGAUCCUGGCUCAGAUUGAACGCUGGCGGCAGGCUUAACACAUGCAAGUCGAGCGGUAGCAGGAGAAAGCUUGCUUUCUUGCUGACGAGCGGCGGACGGGUGAGUAAUGCUUGGGAAUCUGCCUGGUAGUGGGGGAUAACUUGCCGAAAGGUAAGCUAAUACCGCGCACGUCCUACGGGAGAAAGCAGGGGAUCUUUUGACCUUGCGCUAUCAGAUGAGCCCAAGCCGGAUUAGCUAGUUGGUAAGGUAAUGGCUUACCAGGGCUACGAUCCGUAGCUGGUCUGAGAGGAUGAUCAGCCACACCGGGACUGAGACACGGCCCGGACUCCUACGGGAGGCAGCAGUGGGGAAUAUUGGUCAAUGGACGCAAGUCUGAACCAGCCAUGUCGCGUGCAGGACGACUGCCCUAUGGGUUGUAAACUGCUUUUAUAUUGGAAGAAUUGCGCUUACGAGUUAAGCGUUUGACGGUACAUUAUGAAUAAGGAUCGGCUAACUCCGUGCCAGCAGCCGCGGUAAUACGGAGGAUCCGAGCGUUAUCCGGAUUUAUUGGGUUUAAAGGGUGCGUAGGCGGAAAUGUAAGUCAGUGGUGAAAUCCUGCAGCUUAACUGUAGAAUAGCCGUUGAAACUGUGUUUCUUGAGUACAUUUGAGGUAGGCGGAAUGUGGUGUGUAGCGGUGAAAUGCAUAGAUAUACCACAGAACACCGAUUGCGAAGGCAGCUUACUAAACUGUCACUGACGCUGAUGCACGAAAGCGUGGGUAUCAAACAGGAUUAGAUACCCUGGUAGUCCACGCUGUAAACGAUGGAUUACGGGUUGUUUGGCGAUACACUGCAAAGUGACUGAGCGGAAAGCAUUUAGUAUUCCACCUGGGGAGUACGUCGGCAACGAUGAAACUCAAAAGAAUUGACGGGGGCCCGCACAAGCGGAGGAACAUGUGGUUUAAUUCGAUGAUACGCGAGGAACCUUACCUGGGUUUAAAUGGNGAGUGACAGGCUUGGAAACAGGCCCUUCUUCGGACACUCUUCAAGGUGCUGCAUGGUUGUCGUCAGCUCGUGCCGUGAGGUGUCGGGUUAAGUCCCAUAACGAGCGCAACCCCUAUCGAUAGUUACCAGCACGUUACGGUGGGGACUCUAUCGAGACUGCCGGUGUAAACCGUGAGGAGGGUGGGGAUGACGUCAAAUCAGCACGGCCCUUACAUCCAGGGCUACACACGUGUUACAAUGGCCGGUACAAAGGGCAGCUACACAGCGAUGUGAUGCUAAUCUCCAAAUCCGGUCUCAGUUCGGAUCGAAGUCUGCAACCCGACUUCGUGAAGCUGGAUUCGCUAGUAAUCGCGCAUCAGCCAUGGCGCGGUGAAUACGUUCCCGGGCCUUGCACUCACCGCCCGUCAAG
rnacentral:rRNA from 1 species